AGAGUUUGAUCCUGGCUCAGGAUGAACGCUGGCGGCGUGCCUAACACAUGCAAGUCGAGCGAUUUACUUCGGUAAAGAGCGGCGGACGGGUGAGUAACGCGUGGGUAACCUGCCUCAUACACAUGGAUAACAUACCGAAAGGUAUGCUAAUACAAGAUGAUAUAAGAGAUUCGCAUGGAUUUCUUAUCAAAGCUUUUGCGGUAUGAGAUGGACCCGCGUCUGAUUAGCUAGUUGGUAAGGUAACGGCUUACCAAGGCGACGAUCAGUAGCCGACCUGAGAGGGUGAUCGGCCACAUUGGAACUGAGACACGGUCCAAACUCCUACGGGAGGCAGCAGUGGGGAAUAUUGCACAAUGGGCGAAAGCCUGAUGCAGCAACGCCGCGUGAGCGAUGAAGGCCUUCGGGUCGUAAAGCUCUGUCCUCAAGGAAGAUAAUGACGGUACUUGAGGAGGAAGCCCCGGCUAACUACGUGCCAGCAGCCGCGGUAAUACGUAGGGGGCUAGCGUUAUCCGGAUUUACUGGGCGUAAAGGGUGCGUAGGUGGUUUCUUAAGUCAGGAGUGAAAGGCCACGGCUCAACCGUAGUAAGCUCUUGAAACUGGGAAACUUGAGUGCAGGAGAGGAAAGUGGAAUUCCUAGUGUAGCGGUGAAAUGCGUAGAUAUUAGGAGGAACACCAGUAGCGAAGGCGGCUUUCUGGACUGUAACUGACACUGAGGCACGAAAGCGUGGGGAGCAAACAGGAUUAGAUACCCUGGUAGUCCACGCCGUAAACGAUGAGUACUAGGUGUCGGGGGUUACCCCCCUCGGUGCCGCAGCUAACGCAUUAAGUACUCCGCCUGGGGAGUACGCUCGCAAGAGUGAAACUCAAAUGAAUUGACGG
rnacentral:rRNA from 1 species